AUGGGAACCCCGGCCCUGAAUUCUUUCCGGGAGGCUUCCAUGGGGGAAUACUCCGGCAAUGGUCCAAAAGCCUCCUGCAACGACCGCAGGGGCAUGGAUGACAGCCCUUAAGGAUGGUAAACCUCUUUUUAGCAGGGAUGAAGCGAAAUUGCCGGUACCUGCAGUAGGAGGCGCCCGUUUAAAUACCUGUCAGCCGCCCCCCAUAAUUGGUACGGUUUCAAGGCGUGUUCCGGAAUUAUUUGAAGCAAAGAAAUUGUUAGUCGUUUUGUCGCGUAAGAAUGGCAAAGCCUGGGGGUGUAACCCCGGGUCCGCAUUCGAUACGGGCAGACUAGACUGUGCUAGGGUAGUUCCCAAGUCGUGAAGUUGCGGUGAAAUGCGCAGAUAUCAGGAGGAACACCGUUGGCGAAGGCGGAUUUCUGAGCCAUUACUGACGGUGAGGAGCGAAAGUCGUAAUGAGCGAACAUGGAUUAGAUAUCCUGUUAGUACACGCCGUAAUCGGUGGGAGAUAGGUGUUGGCGACAUUUCAUGUUGUUGGUGUCGCAGCUAACGCAUGAUGCUCCCCGCCUUGGGAGUUCGGCUGCAACGCUAUAAUUCAAAGGAAUUGAAUGGAGACCGCACAAGCAGCGGAGCAUGUGGCUUAAUUAGACGCAAGGCGACGAACGUUAUCAAGGCUUGACAUACACCGGAAACGGCCAGAGAUGGUCGCCCCAUCGUGGUCGGUGUACAGGUGGUGCAUGGCUGUUGUCAGGUCGGGUCGUGAGAUGUUGGGUUAUGUCCGGCAAAGAGGGCUAACAAUCUUAA
rnacentral:rRNA from 1 species